rfam:Nectria haematococca mpVI 77-13-4 chromosome 10 genomic scaffold NECHAsca_14_chr10_3_0, whole genome shotgun sequence.
GGCGCUGUGGCGGAGUGGUCUAACGCGUUAGACUGUGAGUAGUGACGCUCAAGUUCAAAGGAAUCCUCCACUAACAUAACUAGUGAAAUCUAAUUCCUUCGGGAGCAUCGGUUCGAACCCGAUCGGCGUCG